CAUUUCUUAUUGCUAACAUAAUAAGUAAAGCCUGCUCAAUGUAAAAUAAAUAGCCGCAGAAUUUUUACUGUGCUAAGGUAGCAUAAUCACUAGCCUUUUAAUUAAAGGCUUGUAUGAAAGGCCUCACAUUUAAAUACCUUUUUUUAUUAUUUAUUUGAACUUAUAUUAAAUAUAAAAAUAUAUUUAUUCAAAAAUUAGACGACAAGACCCUAUUGAACUUUACUUUAGUUCAGCUGGGGCAGCUUAUUAACAAUUAUUUUAAUGCUAUAUUUUUUUUUAAUAUAAUGAACCAAUUAAAUUGGUAAAAAGAAUAAGUUACCAUAGGGAUAACAGCGUAAUCUCUUUUUAAAGCUCUUAUUAAAAAGGAGGAUUGCGACCUCGAUGUUGAAUUAAUAUUCCUAAUAAACGCAAUAGUUUAUUAAGGGGGUCUGUUCGACCUUUAAAAUAUUAC
rnacentral:rRNA from 1 species